UAAAGGGUAUAGAAGUACUGAUAAAGUUUUAAAUCUGAUCAAGGAAACUUAGAGGAUCUUUUCCUAAUAAAUUUUGGGGCAGAGGUGAUGAUAUAUCCUGGUGGGAAAGUUACUACAUAGAAAUAAAACAAGAGAAACAUAAAAAGAAUUAUCACGCUAUAAUACUGUGCAAUAAUUUACAGCAGUUUCCAAGUGGACAUUCUUUUUCUCGCUGCUUUCCGGACAAAUGAGAACGUGAAGACCUUCUGUUAGAUACUGGAUAAAACGGAAAAGAAGAAAAUGACUGCGCUGCUCCUCAGUACGCAGUUGCCACACCUGGUCCCUCCUCGUUGUCCUUGAGGGAAGCCGCCCAUCUGAUGAGUCACGGGCUCACACGGACAAACGUACGCGGUGAUGUUUGUGGAUGGACAUGCUUGCUGCAGGUAACGAGAGACCACCUGCUAUCUCCCGGGCACGGGGCUGGAUCUGUUCUCCUGGCCUGGAAAGUGUCUUCUCCAUUUAAUUCGCACGUGAGAAAACACCGAGCUUAACUUCUGACUGCCACAGAUUCCUGUUCUUUCAAUAUUUUCUGAGACAUAGCAAUAAAAGAUAACGGAUGUGGCCUGAGAACAGUCUGAAUAUUUAUGGCAAAGUCUGAAAAGAGUACAUUCUACAGUCCUAGGCUGUCCGACUGAGAUGCCAUAAGUCACCAUUAUAUCAAAUAGUUGAGCCAGAAGAAGGGACAUAUUUGUGUCUUUAAGAAGGUAGCUUGCUUCUCUUCAUAGAAUGAU